rnacentral:rRNA from 1 species
AGAGUUUGAUUAUGGCUCAGGACGAACGCUGGCGGCGCGCCUAACACAUGCAAGUCGAACGAGGAAGCAGGUACAAAGCCUUCGGGCAGCGAACCUGUUUUCCUAGUGGCGGACGGGUGAGUAACACGUGAGCAACCUGCCUUUCAGAGGGGGAUAACAGUUAGAAAUGACUGCUAAUACCGCAUAACGCAAAGAGGAGGCAUCUUCUUUUUGCCAAAGGAGCAAUCCGCUGAAAGAUGGGCUCGCGGCCGAUUAGGUAGUUGGUGAGGUAACGGCCCACCAAGCCGACGAUCGGUAGCCGGACUGAGAGGUUGAUCGGCCACAUUGGGACUGAGACACGGCCCAG